AAUCAACGCUGGCGGCGUGCCUCAGACAUGCAAGUCGAACGCGAAAGUCCCCUUCGGGGACGAAGUAGAGUGGCGCACGGGUGAGUAGCACGUAGGUAAUCUACCUUCGGAUGGGGAAGUAACAACCGGAAACGGUUAGCUAAUACCGCAUAAUGCAGCGGCACCUAAUGGUGACAGUUGUUAAAGACGGGGGAGUCGAAAGACCUCGCGUCUGAAGAGGAGCCUGCGGCGGAUUAGCAGUUUGGUAAGGUAAUGGCUUACCAAGGCUACGAUCCGUAACCGGCCUGAGAGGGGCGGUCGGUCACACUGACACUGACAUACGGGUCAGACUCCUACGGGAGGCAGCAGUCGGGAAUUUUGGGCAAUGGGCGAAAGCCUGACCCAGCAACGCCGCGUGAAGGAUGAAAUCCCUCGGGA
rnacentral:rRNA from 1 species